GGGCAACCCUGGUGGCGAGUGGCGAACGGGUGAGUAAUACAUCGGAACGUGUCCUGUAGUGGGGGAUAGCCCGGCGAAAGCCGGAUUAAUACCGCAUACGCUCUACGGAGGAAAGGGGGGGAUCUUAGGACCUCUCGCUACAGGGGCGGCCGAUGGCAGAUUAGCUAGUUGGUGGGGUAAAGGCCUACCAAGGCGACGAUCUGUAGCUGGUCUGAGAGGACGACCAGCCACACUGGGACUGAGACACGGCCCAGACUCCUACGGGAGGCAGCAGUGGGGAAUUUUGGACAAUGGGCGCAAGCCUGAUCCAGCAAUGCCGCGUGUGUGAAGAAGGCCUUCGGGUUGUAAAGCACUUUUGUCCGGAAAGAAAACCUCUGGGUUAAUACCCCGGGGGGAUGACGGUACCGGAAGAAUAAGCACCGGCUAACUACGUGCCAGCAGCCGCGGUAA
rnacentral:rRNA from 2 species